UUCUGUGAUAGAGUUGGACCUGACCUUCCAGAAUUCUCGUUUGGCUUUCAGAUACUUAGGAAACCAUGUUUAAUAACCAGAGAAGAUCCCCUAAAGGUGAAGACUGAAUGGGAGUAAUUGGGUAACAGAUUUGUAUCAUCACUGUUGUCUUAACUUGGCAACAAUCCAGUCUGCUGGAAAUGUAAGCAGAGACUCUGGGUGGGAGUGGAUUUUCUUUUUCUUUCUUUCUUUUUUUUUUUUAUUUAAAGAUUUUAUUUAUUUGACAGAUACAGUGAGCGAGGGAACACAAGCAGGGGGAGUAGAAGAGGGAGAAGCAGGCUCCCCGCUGAGCAGGGAGCCCCAUGCGGGGCUCCAUCCCAGGACCCUGGGAUCAUGACCUGAGCUGAAGGCAGGCAUUUAACAACUGAGCCACCCAGGCGCCCCAAGAGCUGAUUUUCAACCAAAAGUCAGGGAGGAAAAAAAUCAAGGAAAGCCAUCCCCAGUACCUUGUUCACAAGGAACCAAAUGCUAUUCACAUCUUGUUGGGCCAUUGGAGUCAUCUGGAAGGCAGAGGGUUUUUUUGUUGUUGUUGUUUUUUAUCCAUUUGUCCUCAAAAUAAGAGAAAGCUGGGGAUAUCUGGGUGGCUCAGUCAGUUAAGAGUCUGACUUUGGCUCGAGUCAUGAUCCCAGGGUCCUGGCAUUGAUCCCUGUCGGGCUCCCUGUUCAGUAGGUAGCCUGCUUCUCUCUCUCUCUCUCUCUCUCUCUUUCUCUCAUGAGUAAAUAAAUAAAUAAAUAUUUUUUAAAAAGAGAGAAGCUGAAAAGAUGCUAAUCAGGCACUUGUGUUGUGGGGAAGGGCACAUACAGACUUUAUUUUAUGUGGUAAAAUUAGGGAAUGACUGACUGAACUAUGAACAUUUCUAAAUGAGGAACUGUGCCCUACAGGGCAUCCAAAAAUAUCAGCUGUGAGAAGGUGUGAAAUGUUCUAUCUGAAAAUACAUCAGAGAGUCUGUCAGAAAACAAUCUCAUAGAUUCAGGUUUUCAAUUUUCCUAAGAUGGACAGUGUGAUUAGUCUGGAUAAGAGAAGUCAUCGAUUUCGGGUGCCUGAGUGGCUCAGUCGGUUGAAAGUCGGCCUUUGGCUCAGGUUGUGAUCCCAGGGUCUUGGGGUCAAGCCCCGUGUUGCGCUCCCUGCUCUGUGGAGAGCCUGCUUUUCCUUCUCUCUCUCUGUGUCAAAUAAAUAAAAAAAUAAUAUAUAUUUUAAAAGUCAUCAGUUUCAAGCUCAUCCUCAGAAGAACUUAGACCUUAGGAGCACAAUUGAAUUCCUCAGUGGUUGGUGAAGUGACAUAGAGGCCAGAUUUGACCCCUGAUUGGUUUUGUACCAGUUCUGAGCCAAGAAUGAUGUUUGUAUCUUUAAAGGUGACACCUUGGAAAAAGUCAAAAGAAGAGAAUGAUUUUGUGAUGUGAAAAUUGAAGUUCAGUGAUGAUAAGUGAAAUCUUACUGGAAGACAGCCACAUCCGUCUGCUCACACGUGGGCUACAUGUCCCAGGGGCAGAAGGGGCAGACUUGAGGUGCUAGCUGGGCACAGAGUUUGCGUGACUUCAGAGCUGAAAAGGUUCACUCUGUUCCUUUACUGAGGGUGUUUGCUGACCCUUGCUCUUGGUGAAGGGUCUACUGGUGUUCAUUAUCCUCUUCUUGGGACUUAUAGAAGACUUGAGAAUUUUUAAACUAGAAAGUUAACAGAAAAAACCAGCCUGAGAAUCACCUGAGGUGCUUGAUGGACAUGGAGAAUCUCCAGCCCCAACUCAGACCGGAGAAUUGGCAUCUCUGGGGGUUGGCGCCGGGAAUAUAAUGUUAUAACAAGCUCUCCAGGUAUUUCUUCUAAAGAAAAAUCUGAGAAUUUUUCUGAGACCCCAUAAGGUUUAGUGAGCUCCUGUUACCUCUUUCGCUCCUUUCCUUCAGCAGAGAACACAUCUGAACAAGUCGUAAUGUUGUGUUUUUGAACCCUGAUCUCCGUGAUCUUCCCCAGAACUUUCUGUGACAGAUGCAGGGCAGAUCUGAUGUGCACAGCACAGUCUGUCACUGUUCCUGGGGCAGAAGUUUGGAGCCUGUGAUAAAACCCUCUCUCCAUCAUCUGAAAUUCUCAUUAGUAGAUGAUUCCUUUGGCUUGGGUGUUCCCACUCUGGAGGGCCAGCCAUCCUUUGUUUCCUGCAAGUUCUUGUUAGUUUUAGGAGUUUAAAGGAAAAUAUACAUUAAGCCACAAUCAAGCCACACGGAAUAACAAAAGUGUCAUUUCUUUGCUUUGGGAUGGAACUGUAUAUCCAACUCUGGUGAUUUCACAUUCCUGGAAGCACUAAUUGUCAAUUGCGUUCUCUUUUUUUUUUUUUAAGGUUAGAGUGAGUGACUUCAUACCGGCAGUUUGAUUUGUAAGUGAAAGCCUUUUAACACAUAAACUUUAUGAAGGCGGUGGGAGGCGGUUGGAUGAGCUUGGGAGAUUAUGAAAUUGGUCUUUGCCGACAGAGGUUGGGACACUCUGUGGGAGACUGUGGCAGGGCUCCCUUCAUCCACCUCCUCUCACCAGCCCAUGUUGGUCUGAAACACCCAGUUCCUGAGAGCGGAAGGCUUAGAUCAGAUGGGUUGCCCAUGGGAGCCAAUGUAGGAUCUUACAGAUCUCAGGGAGCAAGGGGCAUCCUUAGUUUCCAAUGUGUCAAGGAAGAAGAGAGUUCUGAUCCUGGGAGACAAAAGCCAUCCAAAACUUGUUGCCUCCCAAAACGUGCGCUUGAGCAGUCUUCUAAGGGAAGUGAUUCUUCGUGAGUAGUUAGUGGAUUUGAGACCGUGAAGUGCCUGAUCUGGUUCAUUGCUGUAGGUCUGGUGCAUGUUCUGGCUACCAGACUAGGUCUGAUGUCAUUCGGGGCUCUUUACUAGACUUGUGACUUCGGGUGCAUCCCUUAGUCCUGAUUUUCAGCUCUCUCGUCUCUACAAUGGGGCUAGCGAUACUGGGGUAAAAUUACAAAGAGGAUUGAAUGAGAACAAUCAUGGUUCCCAAACAAGGUUCAUUAUCAACAAUAACCAUGCCUGGGUCGUUUUGCUUACAAAACAAAAUAAAAAACAAAACUUAGACUUUCAGACCCCUGUGAAUUCUAAUUUAGUAGUUUCAGGGCGAAGGAUUAGGGAAUCUGUUUGGUUUAAAGCCGACUUUGGAGAUGAUGCCAGAUUCGGGAAACCCUGAAAAGUGCCUGUGAAAGCCCGUGGUCUAGUUCUAACACGCUCUCUGUACUCAGUUGUUGGUAUCUGGGAAACAGGACUUUGGGCCAGACAGUACGUGUUCAGUGACUCGGUGUGAGCAUCCUCAUGGACUCUGCUUUUGUGCUCUUUGUUGUGCUAGCUGUGAACCUCAGCAGGUCAGCUGUGUGUGGGCCAGCGCUAGGAGCUGUGGAAGACAGCUGUGGGGGAGACCCUGCGUCUGCACCCCGUUCCUCGGCUGCUGUAUACGGCUUUCUGCUCUCCCUUCCUGGGAGGGAAAAAGUGCGGUGCAGCUAAGAGUUUGCUCUUCCAAUCCCUCUUGUCCUAAACUCAACAUGGGCUAGAAACAACUUAUUUCUAAUUAUUACUCCAUCCUUCAACCACCCACGUUUUUACUUUUGUCAGAGAGAGGAAGCAGCAGGCAGAGGGAGAGGGAGAAGCAGGCUCCCCAUUGAGCAGGGAGCCUCAUGUGGGACUCCAUCCCAGGACCCCGGGAUCAUGACCCAAGCCAAAGGCAGACACUUAACCCACGGAGCCAUCCAGGCGUCCGUUCACUUUUGCUUCUCAUGAAGCAAGACAGAUGCUAACAUACAGUGAAAUGGUUCAACACUUAGGCUGAUCCGGCAAGCCGAAGCUGAGAGGCAGGUUUGGAGAAUGAGUCUCUUUGGCAGGGAAAUUUCCCGCAUUUUUCUGCACCCCAUUUCUUCCUCCUCCUGACUGCCCCAGGGUCCACUGCUGCGGUCUGGUCUGGUCCGAGGGGCCAAGACCACAUUCCCGGACCUCUCUGUACCUCUCACACCCCGACUCACACCUUCCAUGUCCAGCCUUCAGGAGCCUGAGCCCUUGCUAAACAAAUUCAAAGUCAGAUUAGUCCUCAUGUCUAAAACUAGUUUCCUCUGAGGCAAUGAUGCCGUUUUAAUAUCAGCCCACAGUGCUUAUAAUGCUCCUGGUAAUGUGUUGCUAGAAGUUUUGUGUACCCGGUUUGAGGUAAUUUUGCUCUCCUGCAUACUUCACCUACAAAUGAAGCUGAUGCUAUCAAAGCCUAGGGGAAGUUGCAAAUCUGGAAAAUCCACAAACCAGGUAAUCAGUCACUGGGUUAUGGGAUCAAUACCAUCAGACGGCAUAUCAGCAUUUGUAUUUGAAUGGAAUCCCUUCUGAUCAUCUUUUAGAAGGUUAUGGAUAAUAUGAUGAUUUUCCUCCUGCCCUUUUUUUUUUUUUUUAAGAUUUUAAUUAUUUGACAGAGAGAAAUCUCAAGAAGGCAGAGAGAUGGGGGUGGGGAGCAGGCUCCCUGCUGAGCAGAGAACCCCAUUGGGGCUCCAUCCCCGGACCCUGAGAUCAUGACCUGAGCCGAAGGGAGAGGCUUAACCCACUGAGCCACCCAGGCACCCCAAUUUUCCUCCUGCUUAAGCAAUGUUCUCAGAACACAGGCUAGAUGAGAACUGGAUGAGAACCCUACCUGGCUCAGAAACCUGUAAUCCAUUUGGAUUCCAGGCUCUGGGACUUGGCCACAAGAAAGAGUAUUUAUCCCAGUCUCUUCCAGGAAGCUGUGCUCUCUGAGCACUGGAAAAUCCCUUUGUUUAUAGUUGUCUUGCAUUUCUGUAAAUCGCCUUAUCUCAGUAGCUUAAAGGAAGAGAUUGGGUAAUUACAGCUUUCCUUUGUUACAGCUUUAUAUUGAAAACACAUGCCCCCAAGGUUAAAUGAGGAUCCAAGUGGAUAGAUAGAUGAUAUAUAAACAAAAUUAGAGAUCACAAGGAUUAGGAGUUUCCUGUGCACUUUCAUCCAGAGGAAGAAGGUUAAUUACAAAUACAAAAUUAUUAUUUUGAGGGGUAAAGGCAGGGUGAUUUUAUUAUAUUGAUGAUCUAUAUUUUCUGGCUCUUGUUUCCAAUUCCUUGAAAUGGGAUGAUUUUUAAAAAAAUUUUAGUUGUGAAUUUUUAAUGUGGUAUUAUCUAAAAUAAUUGGAUUCAGAAUCUAUUGACAAGUAUAAUGAUGGGAUAUUUUGGAUAGUCAACUUUGAAAUUAUCAACUUAAUGCCUAUGUCCUUGCUACAUACUUGAAUUAGUAGGAUAGGUUCUUUUCACUUUAUUCAGGUUCUUUAUCUUGUUCACAGAAGACAAGUGAUUAUUAUGAAGCAAUAAGGUACCCAGUGAAAGACUUAUCUAUUUUUUUAAAGAUUUUAUUUGUUUAUUUGACAGACAGAGAUCACAAGUAGACAGAGAGGCAGGCAGAGAGAGAGGGGGAGAAGCAGGUUCCUUGCUGAGCAGAGAGCCCGAUGCGGCUCGAUCCCAGGACUCUGGGAUCAUGACCUGAGCCGAAGGCAGAGGCUUCUCUUCUCGCUUCUCUCUCUUCUUGCUUCUCGCCUGAGCCACCCAGGUGCCCUUCCAUUAACUAUUUCUAUGCUUAAGUUAAGGACAGAGCCGGUGGAAUCUCAUUACUAAAUUCCUAAAUUUCCUAUUUUUUUUAAAGAAGUCAAUGAACUUUUUAAAAAAAUUAAAUUAAAUUAAUUAGCAUAUCGUGUAUUAUUUGUUUCAGGGGUACAGAUCUGUGAUUCAUCAGUCUUAUAUAAUACCCAGUGCUCAUUUUAAAGAAAUCCUGCCCUCCUUGUAACUGUGUGUGUGUGUGUGUGUGUGUCUAAUAUGCCUGAGAGUUUGUUAUGCUGAUAUCAUCACUACAACCAUGAAAUUAAGUCUUUAUCACUUGACCUUCACCUUGAAUUCAGUUUUCAAUGCUAUUUCACUUGAAUUUAAUUAAAAGCCCUCAAUAUGACAACCUUGAAUUUAAUUUAAUCUUCAACAUUAUGACCUUUAUCACAUUGUGAACAGAUCUAUCAUUUUAGUGUGUCAAAAAGUAUAUAUUCUUCACAGUGUUUCAUGUAAUCUAAAUUUGUAAAUACUGCCUCUGUUUUAUUUAUCCUUAAUAUACUUGACUGUCUAACUUGGUGAUAAGUGACAUGAACUUUAUAUUACAUAUAUUUCUUUGAAACCUCA